GGGCCCGCACAAGCGGUGGAGCAUGUGGUUUAAUUCGAUGAUACGCGAGGAACCUUACCAGGGCUUAAAUGCAGGACGACAGGGGUGGAAACACCUCCUUCUUCGGACGUCUUGCAAGGUGCUGCAUGGUUGUCGUCAGCUCGUGCUGUGAAGUGUCGGGCUAAGUCCCAUAACGAGCGCAACCCCUAUUUCUAGUUGCCAGCGGUUCGGCCGGGGACUCUAGAGAAACUGCCAGCGUAAGCUGUGAGGAAGGUGGGGAUGACGUCAAAUCAUCACGGCCCUUACGUCCUGGGCUACACACGUGCUACAAUGGUGAGGACAGAGAGUUGCCAACCCGCGAGGGUGAGCUAAUCUCAUAAACUUCGCCUAAGUUCAGAUUGCAGGCUGCAACUCGCCUGCAUGAAGUUGGAAUCGCUAG
rnacentral:rRNA from 1 species